rnacentral:rRNA from 1 species
CCCUUAGAUGUUCUGGGCCGCACACGUGCUACACUGAGUAAUUCAAUGGGUAAGGGAACGCUAGAGCAUUACCUAAUCUUGAAAUUUGCUCGUGAUGGGGAUCGACGGUUGCAAUUUUCCGUCGUGAACGAGGAAUACCUUGUAGGCGCAUGUCAUCAUCAUGCGCCGAAUACGUCCCUGCCCUUUGUACACACCGCCCGUCGCUCCUACCGAUUGAGUGAUCCGGUGAGGCUCUGGGACCUGGACGGAAAGAGCGUUUCGCUUGUUCUGUUUGGGAAACUUGGUCGAACCUUAUCAUUUAGAGGAAGGAGAAGUCGUAACA